AUACUUACCUGGACGGGGUUUUUGGGCGAUCAAGAACGCCCAUGGCCUAGGUCAGUGACCUCCAUUGCACUUAGGAGGGGUGCUAACCUAUGGUCUUCCACAAGUGGAAGAGCCAACGUCAUAAUUUGUUGCCGUGGGGGCUUGCGUUCGCGCAGCCCCUGC